GCCCAGGUGGUGAAAUUGGUAGACACGCUAGCUUCAGGUGCUAGUGACCUCACGGUCGUGGAAGUUCGAGUCUUCUCCUGGGCACCA
rnacentral:tRNA from 5 species